AUUGAACGCUGGCGGCAUGCCUUACACAUGCAAGUCGAACGGCAGCGCGGACUUCGGUCUGGCGGCGAGUGGCGAACGGGUGAGUAAUGUAUCGGAACGUACCAUUCAGUGGGGGAUAACGCAGCGAAAGUUGCGCUAAUACCGCAUAUUCUGUGCGCAGGAAAGCAGGGGAUCGCAAGACCUUGCGCUGAUUGAGCGGCCGAUAUCAGAUUAGCUAGUUGGUGAGGUAAAGGCUCACCAAGGCGACGAUCUGUAGCGGGUCUGAGAGGAUGAGCCGCCACACUGGAACUGGGACACGGUCCAGACUCCUACGGGAGGCAGCAGUGGGGAAUUUUGGACAAUGGGCGCAAGCCUGAUCCAGCCAUGCCGCGUGAGUGAAGAAGGCCUUCGGGUUGUAAAGCUCCUUCGGCCGGGAAGAAAUCGUAUGGGUUAAUACCCUGUGCGGAUGACGGUAUCGGCAUAAGAAGCACCGGCUAACUACGUGCCAGCCGCCGCAGUAAGAC
rnacentral:rRNA from 1 species